UCACUCCCCAUCAGCACUAAAACCGAAGCACGGCACCCACAGGGCGCUCCUGCCCCUUCCUGAUCCCUCUGCUCAAGCCAUACCCUCUGCAGCCAGAGCUGAAGGAACGUCCAUCCCCACGGACUAGAUCUACCCUGAGGCACAUAACAGUCGUGUAGCACUCUGGACUCAGAAUGCUCUUGCAGAAACAGCUCCUAUUAUUGAGGUCUUGACAAUAAGUGUCAUAUGUUUUACUGUAAGAGAUAUUACUCACAAAAGGCAAAUAUGUUUACAAAGGAUUGAAUUUGUUGCCAUGGGAG